rnacentral:rRNA from 1 species
GUCUACGGCCAUACCACCCUGAAUGCAUCGAUCUCGUCUAAUCUCAGAAGCUAAGGAGGGUCGGGCCUGGUUAGUACUUGGAUGGGAGAAUUAUGUCAGCCAUUGGGUUUUCAUAGAUG